rnacentral:rRNA from 1 species
UACGUAGGGGGCGAGCGUUGUCCGGAUUUAUUGGGCGUAAAGGGCGUGUAGGCGGCUAUUUAAGUCGGGGGUGAAAAUCCAGGGCUCAACCCUGGGACUGCCUCCGAAACUGGGAAGCUUGAGUGCUCUAGAGGGUAGUGGAAUUCCCGGUGUAGCAGUGAAAUGCGUAGAGAUCGGGAGGAACACCAGUGGCGAAGGCGACUGCCUGGGGGGUAACUGACGCUGAGGCGCGAAAGCUGGGGGAGCAAAC